rnacentral:rRNA from 1 species
AAGGUGACUGCCGGUGACAAACCGGAGGAAGGUGGGGAUGACGUCAAAUCAUCAUGCCCCUUAUGACCUGGGCUACACACGUGCUACAAUGGACAGAACAAAGGGCUGCGAGACCGCAAGGUUUAGCCAAUCCCACAAAUCUGUUCUCAGUUCGGAUCGCAGUCUGCAACUCGACUGCGUGAAGCUGGAAUCGCUAGUAAUCGCGGAUCAGCAUGCCGCGGUGAAUACGUUCCCGGGCCUUGUACACACCGCCCGUCACACCACGAGAGUUUGCAACACCCGAAGUCGGUGAGGUAACCUUUAUGGAGCCAGCCGCCGAAGGUGGGGCAGAUGAUUGGGGUGAAGUCGUAACAAGGUAGCCGU